AGCACAUAAAUAUACAUAUCUCCAGUACUGCACCAUAUGAUUGGCCCUUGUAUUUGAUUACCCUUAUAUAUAUGUUGAGUCUAUGCUUUUUUGUUGGGUCAGAUAAAAAAAACAUGUAUGAAUUUUGUUUUUGCACCUUAGAAGUGAUGCAUUGAACUACAUAUCAUGAGAUGAUCGAGAUGAAUAACUGAAAAUGUUGUACAUAUAUGAAAAACCGGACGAAGGAGCAAGACAUUUGACAGGCUGCGAUACAGAUGAAAUUAAUCAGUGGAGACACAUGCAUGCUUUGGUGUAACAUGGUUGUUGGCGUGGGAGGUUUCAGGAUUGGUCCAUUCACCAAUUCGUCUACUCUGAUGCCUCUGAAUUGGAGAUAAACGGAUGCGGUAGAACGACCAUUGCCUGCAUGCGAGCUCUUCCUGCUGCAAUGGCGGUGUGUCCAUGGGAUCGUCUCCUUGAUGACAUGAACAGACGAACUCAACUGGAAGGGGAAUGUUGCUAACUGCUAUAUCUGCUUCUUGUUGAAUCUAUCACUUGCAUCCAAAUUUAUUAGUAUACAUGAAAAUUAUCCAAGGAACUAACUGUAAUUGUAUUGGAGUUCAAUGAUGCUUGUCCAUCCUUGAUCGCUCAAAAUUAUGUUGUCACAAUCAUGCUUGUUGAUGCAAUGUGGAAACAAUAGGAUGGCUCAUCCUUGUGGGAUGAUGCUUUAGAAGAAACUACCUGGAAGAAUAACGCAAG
rnacentral:lncRNA from 1 species